rnacentral:rRNA from 1 species
ACGAAGGGUGCAAGCGUUAAUCGGAAUUACUGGGCGUAAAGGGUGCGUAGGCGGUUCGUUAAGUCUGUCGUGAAAUCCCCGGGCUCAACCUGGGAAUGGCGAUGGAUACUGGCGAGCUAGAGUGUGUCAGAGGGGGAUGGAAUUCCGCGUGUAGCAGUGAAAUGCGUAGAUAUGCGGAGGAACACCGAUGGCGAAGGCAAUCCCCUGGGCCUGUACUGACGCUCAUGCACGAAAGCGUGGGGAGCAAACAGGA